GACGAACCGUGCAAACGUUGUUCGGAAUCACUGGGCUUAAAGGGCGCGUAGGCGGGCAAGCAAGUCCGGGGUGAAAUCUUUCGGCCCAACCGGAAAAGGGCCUUGGAUACUGCUUGUCUGGAGGGAGGUAGGGGCAGACGGAACUUCCGGUGGAGCGGUGAAAUGCGUUGAUAUCGGAAGGAACGCCGGUGGCGAAAGCGGUCUGCUGGACCUCUACUGACGCUGACGGCGCGAAAGCCA
rnacentral:rRNA from 1 species